CUUAGUUCUAAGCCCCUUGGCUAUGCAAAUCGCCUAAGCAAAUACAGGAAAAGGGAGGGGAAAGGUUUCUGGUCUGCCUUUCCUCACCAGCCCCACUCCAGAGCGCACCGGCCAGCCGCCAACCUCCUCUCCAAGAGGGCCACAGGCGCGCCCCCCUCCGCGCGCCCCAGCACCAGCCGGGAGCCCCUCGGUCACUCUGGCUGGGGGAGGUGGGUCUUGUCUGCCCUCUGCCCGCCCGAGUGGAACUCUCGGCCUCCCCAGCCGAGACCCGGCCAACCCAGAGCGCAGCGAGCAGGAACUGGAAAAGGGAGGAGAGCGGGCGAGCCCUGCAAUGCGAAAGCGCCCGGCCUGGCUCGCCGCGGCCCCUGCCGGCAGGUCCGGAUCACUCGCCAGUCCAGGCGCCUCGGGAAGUCAGGACGCGGGGAAGAGGAGUGCCUGACCUUGGGGGCAGCCUCCCGCACCACUACCACAGAUCCAAACGCGGAGAGUCUGCGGGCCACUGCACACCAGCCCUGCGAGCCCCGAGCCGCCCCCGGCCGGAACUCGCCGGCGGUCCCCGGGCGCCGCGCUGCUCUCUUGCCAGGGCCCUGGGCGCGCUCUGCCCUGCAACUGUCGCGGGGCAAGAGGGACCGGCGGCAAGGCAGGGAAGAAGGCGGAGCAGGCGGCCGGGGAAACACUUACAUUUGCCAGGAAAGCGCCUCCUCUCGAGGAAGGGAACGGCUUCCUGGUUACGGGGACGCCCCUACGCGGGCUGCCGCCCGUCUCUGGCGCCGGGAUUCUCCCGCCUCCAGUCCUCCUCCACCUCGCCCCACCCCACGCUCAGAAAGCGGGUCUUGGAUCCAUGCCCCGCGGCUUUCACCGGACCCCGCACUUGGAUUCUGCUGCCCGCAGCUAGCGCAACAGGCAGAGUCUUUGGGCGCCAGCGACGGCAGGCUCCUGGGACCAGAGGGUGGGUGCGCAGAGGGGCCAGGCGCCUUGCAGGAUGCAAAGUCCCUUACGGGCGUGGACCCGCCGUGGACCCCGACCCGGGCUCUGGAAGGCUGGAGCAGUGAAGGGGCGAUGGGGUGGCGCAACAAAGUUGCGGGGUCGCCUGGAGAAGUCUCUGGAGGGCGCGCGGAGCCGGGGACGCCAGUAGGUACCUGCGGGAGUGCGGGUGCAGCUGACUCGCUGGACGUCGCUACGCCGCCAGCUGCGCUGCAGUUACCAGGCCUGGCGGCGCGGUCCCGCGCCCGCCGCCACAGCGGCGAGGACAGCGGGGCGGCCCGCGUGGGUCCGUGGGUCCGUGAGCCCGCAGGGCUGGAGCGCGGCGCCUGCGAGUGGCGGGCGGGGCCGGGCGGAGCCGCCGCUCAGUCACCGCCCCACAGGUCCGAGCUCCGCCCGCAGCUCGUGCGCCCCGAGCCGAGGGCGCGGCGCUCCUGCGCAGGCGGGUGUAAACCGCGGGGGCUCGGGGCGCCCGAGGGGUCGAAGGGUGGAGGGACCCAGACGCCGCGACGCCGGGCGCGCGCUCCCGCUGAGGCCCGAGUGCAAAGUCACCUAGAAUGA
rnacentral:lncRNA from 1 species